AUUGAACGCUGGCGGCAGGCCUAACACAUGCAAGUCGAGCGGAUGAAGGUAGCUUGCUAUCUGAUUCAGCGGCGGACGGGUGAGUAAUGCCUAGGAAUCUGCCUGGUAGUGGGGGACAACGUUUCGAAAGGAACGCUAAUACCGCAUACGUCCUACGGGAGAAAGCAGGGGACCUUCGGGCCUUGCGCUAUCAGAUGAGCCUAGGUCGGAUUAGCUAGUAGGUGAGGUAAUGGCUCACCUAGGCGACGAUCCGUAACUGGUCUGAGAGGAUGAUCAGUCACACUGGAACUGAGACACGGUCCAGACUCCUACGGGAGGCAGCAGUGGGGAAUAUUGGACAAUGGGCGAAAGCCUGAUCCAGCCAUGCCGCGUGUGUGAAGAAGGUCUUCGGAUUGUAAAGCACUUUAAGUUGGGAGGAAGGGCAGUAAGUUAAUACCUUGCUGUUUUGACGUUACCGACAGAAUAAGCACCGGCUAACUCUGUGCCAGCCGCCGCGGUAACAC
rnacentral:rRNA from 1 species